AGUCGCGUGGUCUAAUGGUUAUGAUAUCUCGUUCACAGUCGUUGAACUCAAUCCGAGAUGGUUCGGAGUUCGAUCCUCCGCGUGACUA